ACGGAGCUCGCAGACGCAGUGACAGCCAUGUCGCUUCUCUAUCAACUCAAGCUUCGAUUUGUUUUCUUCGGUUUCAGCACCGAGAAAAGACCCAAACCGCCUAGGAGGCCCGCCCAGCCGCCUAGCACCCGCCUAGCCGCCUAGCCGCCCGCCUAGGCCGAUUUUUGGAACACUGCGAUUGACUGAAAGUCUGAAACCCGAAAUUGAAAAAGUUUAGCUGCAAAUUUGAGCUUGAGAUUGAGAAGCGGAAGCAGUGAAGCACAAGUCAGGUCCAUAGAAGAAGAGAUCAUGAGACUCUUAAUUCAUCUAAUUCCAUUCCUCUCCCUGUUUCCUGCCUUAUUCUCUUCUCAUGGAGUUUCUAUGGUCAUGCCAAUAACAAGAUCGCUGAACCACAGCAAGCACCCCCUUCCUCCAUCUCGGAUA